CGAACGUAGGUAACCUGCCCAUGUGUCCGGGAUAACUGCUGGAAACGGUAGCUAAACCGGAUAGGUAUACAGAGCGCAUGCUCAGUAUAUUAAAGCGCCCAUCAAGGCGUGAACAUGGAUGGACCUGCGGCGCAUUAGCUAGUUGGUGAGGUAACGGCCCACCAAGGCGAUGAUGCGUAGCCGGCCUGAGAGGGUAAACGGCCACAUUGGGACUGAGACACGGCCCAA
rnacentral:rRNA from 1 species